rnacentral:lncRNA from 1 species
AACUGAUUAGAUGUAAGACAUACUGCUAAGCUGAAAACAGCAUCUAGACCCUUAGUGGAUUUUGGUGUAUUAAAUAACAACGUGAUUAAAGGUCUAAUGAACUUGUUAAGUUUACGAGCAGAUUAUUUAUAUUGAUGAACAAUCUUUGUGGGAAGAAUUGUAUCAAAAGGCUCAUACAAUGUAAAGGACAAAGUGGAAAACUUAUGUAAAUCACAU